rnacentral:piRNA from 1 species
UGAAGUUAAACGUACCACAGGUUUC